CACUGGGUAGUCAAUUUCCAUCCCUGGUGGUCUUCCACCAUCCUGGCAUGAGGGUUUUUUUUUUUGUUUUCCUGCCCCCUCCUUGGUCCUGGGCUUACUGUUUGACUACUGCCUCAAUAUUUUUUUUACCACCCUCCUUUUAAAAGGGUAGUAUGGCUCCCCAACCCAGCCACACAGAAGGAAAAGGGUUAGAGCCAUGUUUUAAAGAUUCCUGACAUCUCAUCUAGCCCACUUUAUCCCUGGAGCCCUUCCAGAUGCAAAGAAGCCAGUCCUAUUUCUAAAGACCUCCAUCGGAGGAGAAGCCACACGCUCCUUUGGGAAAACCUUCUGUUCUUAGCUACCUUCCUGAAGUCGAUGGCUGUAUCUGCACACCUAAACCAAGCUGAGCAAACAAAGCAGUUAAAUUCAAUUAAAUAGUGGAUUAUUUUCCAAAUAAACCUCUCUGCAAGCUGGCUUCAAGUCCUACUGCUCACUUCAGUCAUAGUGGAUGUUCCAUUGGCUCUUGAAGCUGCCAAAUGUCCUGACCUAUCCUCAGCCCUCAUUUUCCUUGGCCUUUCUGAAGCCUUUUUCCUCACUGGCCACCACUUCUUCCUGGGCACUGUCUCUACUCUAGUUUUUUUUUUUUUUAUAACCCCAAACUCUCGUGGAUCUGCUCUUAAAACACUGACUGUUCCUCUUAAUCCCUCUGGGUGAGGGUGAUGGGCCCCAAAACAAAGGGCUGGUGGCCUACAUGUAGAUGGGUCUGCAACACCCCACUCCAGGCCUCCAGGAGAAUGAAGUUCCAAUUUGGUGGGGAUUCAGAGGAUGGUUGGGGCUGGGUAAUCACGUGCUUGUUCUCCUAUCAUCAACAUGAGCGUGGGGCUUGGAGUCAUAUCUAUCACACGUCAUCUAAAGGUAUCCCUCCUUAGAAAUUUCCCUUCUACCAGGAAUGCAAGGAAGGCAGAGGAGGAAAAAAUCACCAAGCACCAACCACUAGGGCCCAGGCCCACCAGGUUUCCCAGAGCCUCACCUGUCAUUCGCUUCCCUGGCUCUCUCCCCAACUACACUGCUGAAGUUUAUGCAGCUUGAUUGGUGGAUCUGAGCAGUGUAUAUCAGCAAAAUGAAGCAGGACAAAAUUGGCCUAAACACCCACUCCUUUCCCAUGAGCUAUGGAUCAAGCCCCUGGCCCAUAUGUGGCUCUGCCCCACCCCCAAGCCUGUUGCUAAAUCAUGCUGCCUCUAGAAUACAAAAUGGGGGACCUGGGCCAAAUUCCCUUCGCUAUCCCUUCCAGCUCUAACAUUGGAUGAUCCGGUACUUCUGUCUCAGGGCUUGUUUGAUGAGGGUUUAUACAAAGACAACACGGCUUUGGUAGGAAAACACAUCUCACAGUUUGGAGAGCUGAUUUCACAAGAGGUAGAUUAUUGAAGACUCUCCCCUCCUCCUACCUCCGUCACACCUUCCCCUUUAAAGCCUUGGAGGGAAAUCGGAAGGAAAGAGGAAUUCUGAUUAGCUCUACCCCCACCCUCCAUUCCCCUGCAUUCAUUCACAUCCUACCUACACUUGUUAAUAACUUCUCUUUAUUUAUUUUAGGGCUUUCCCCAUUAACAUAAGAAAAGUAAGAAUAAAAACAAGAUGUGAAAUCCCA
rnacentral:lncRNA from 1 species